rnacentral:rRNA from 1 species
AUUGAACGCUGGCGGCAUGCCUUACACAUGCAAGUCGAACGGUAACGGGCCUUCGGGUGCCGACGAGUGGCGAACGGGUGAGUAAUGCAUCGGAACGUACCUUUCAGUGGGGGAUAACGUAGCGAAAGUUACGCUAAUACCGCAUAUUCUGUGAGCAGGAAAGCAGGGGAUCGCAAGACCUUGCGCUGAUUGAGCGGCCGAUGUCAGAUUAGCUAGUUGGUGAGGUAAAGGCUCACCAAGGCGACGAUCUGUAGCGGGUCUGAGAGGAUGAUCCGCCACACUGGAACUGAGACACGGUCCAGACUCCUACGGGAGGCAGCAGUGGGGAAUUUUGGACAAUGGGGGCAACCCUGAUCCAGCCAUGCCGCGUGAGCGAAGAAGGCCUCGG